rnacentral:rRNA from 1 species
CCCUUAGAUGUCCUGGGCUGCACGCGCGCUACACUGAUGUGUCCAGUAAGCACCUAACCUAUUCCGAGAGGAGCGGGUAACCUUAGCAAAGCACAUCGUGAUGGGGAUAGAUUAUUGCAAUUAUUAGUCUUGAACGAGGAAUGCCUAGUAAGCGCAAGUCAUCAGCUUGCGUUGAUUACGUCCCUGCCCUUUGUACACACCGCCCGUCGCUCCUACCGAUUGAAUGGUCCGGUGAAGCGCUCGGACCGCGGCCUCUUGACGGUUUUCCGUCGAUUGGCUGUGGGAAGUUCGUUAAACCUUAUCAUUUAGAGGAAGGAGAAGUCGUAACA